rfam:Callithrix jacchus chromosome 11, whole genome shotgun sequence
CCAGCAGCCCUUUUUUUUUCCAGACCAAGGGCUGUGAACCCGCCUGGGGAUGAGGCCUGGUCUUGUGGAACUGAACUUAGCUCGCCGGGGCUGACCACUCUGGCCCAGGGUGGUAUGUAAU